rnacentral:rRNA from 1 species
UAUUGGUCAAUGGUCGGGAGACUGAACCAGCCAAGCCGCGCGAGGGAGGAAGGUACAGAGUAUCGUAAACCUCUUUUGUCAGGGAACAAAGACUGGGACGCGUCCCCGGAUGAGUGUACCUGAAGAAAAAGCAUCGGCUAACUCCGUGCCAGCAGCCGCGGUAAUACGGAGGAUGCGAGCGUUAUCCGGAUUUAUUGGGUUUAAAGGGUGCGCGGGCGGCCUGUUAAGUCAGCGGUAAAAGCCCGGGGCUCAACCCCGGCGAGCCGUUGAAACUGGCGGGCUGGAGUUGGAGAGAAGUACGCGGAAUGCGCGGUGUAGCGGUGAAAUGCUUAGAUAUCGCGCAGAACCCCGAUUGCGAAGGCAGCGUACCGGCUCCACACUGACGCUGAGGCACGAAAGCGUGGGUAUCGAACAGG